AACGCGAAGAACCUUACCAACCCUUGACAUCGUAGGACAACUCCAGAGAUGGAGCUUUCUCGUAAGAGACCUAUAGACAGGUGCUGCAUGGCUGUCGUCAGCUCGUGUCGUGAGAUGUUCGGUUAAGUCCGGCAACGAGCGCAACCCACGUCCCUAGUUGCCAGCAUUCAGUUGGGCACUCUAUGGAAACUGCCGAUGAUAAGUCGGAGGAAGGUGUGGAUGACGUCAAGUCCUCAUGGCCCUUACGGGUUGGGCUACACACGUGCUACAAUGGUGGUGACAGUGGGUUAAUCCCAAAAAGCCAUCUCAGUUCGGAUUGGGGUCUGCAACUCGACCCCAUGAAGUUGGAAUCGCUAGUAAUCGCGGAACAGCAUGCCGCGGUGAAUACGUUCCCGGGCCUUGUACACACCGCGCAUA
rnacentral:rRNA from 1 species